ACACCAUGUAUUGGUCAGCAGUCACAAUGCUCAUAAUGAACCCCUGAAGGUUAGGCAGGGUUUUCACUGCAAAUGAUGGUCUCCCAGCCCAAGGGGAAGAGUUCUGUAUAUAAUGAAUUACAUUCAGUGCUUGUUGCAUGGAUAGGGACACACUGCUGGCAGAAGCAAUUCAUCCCUAUGAGCAGCCAUUGUUAGCAGACACUGCUGGGGAGGGGGAUGCAGAGACACCAGGCAGUCCCAGAGGGGCCUUGGUGGCCGUAUGGCCAUGUGCAGACUGCUUCUUGCAAGUAUCCAUGUAGCACUAUGGAACUAAUUACUUAAUUUAGGACUUCUAUCACUUUUUCAUUAGGCAUUAAUUAAUGUCUGCCUUUUAAGGUCAGUAUGAAAUACAAGAUGGAGGCUGGGCAUAUGUUAAUGAGACUCCUACUAAUUAAAUAGAAGCUUCAGAAGGAAGAGCUCUGACAAGUAACCAACACCAUUUGCACAUAGUAUAUUGAUUCAGAAAAUGUAAAAUUGAAAAGAAAAAAUAAUUGCUUAAGCAUUUCACUCUCCAGGAAAGCCUGAUUCAUAGAUCAUCAAAUAUUUUAAUUGAAUUUAUCGAAAGCCUCCAAAUAAAUUUGAGUAAAGGAUUAUACUUGGAUCAUUCUUUGGCUGUCUGGAAUUUUGCAGUGACAAGAUCCUUAUCUUCAUCCAACAGCAGCCUUUACUCUGCACUGCUGGGCUGUGGCUGAUGCAGCUGCUCCAUAGACAAGCACAGUUCUCAGAAAGCACUCAAGUUCAUUCCUAAGCCUCGAUGUAUAAUCCAGGAAGACUAAAAAGCAAGCAAGCCUACUAAUCCUCGUCUCACUGGCUAAAAUGUGAGUAAAAUGUCUUAUAUUUCAAAUGAGCCAAAGUAUCUUGUGUGCACAAACAGCUGCAAGAUUUUUUGGUCAUCUUUCAUGGGUAAUUAUUCACCUGAGAACAAAUCAAGCAAAAAGAAAAAUAUAUAUAUAUAUACAUAUGUAGACAGAGAGAGCUAGAAGGAAGGGAGUGAGACAAGUGCCUGGCUGGCGCAUGUGGAGUGCCUGCAGACCAUGUCUGUGAACACCAUCAGUCAUACAGGCACAACUAGGGCACGUAUAACAUGAGGAAGGUAAAACAUCUCAUAAUUGUGUAAUGUACUGCACAAGUGUAGUUACUGGAAUAAAUAACAGUCUACUCAGCUGUAUCCUGCAGAGCCAAAUAUAAAUAUUAAGCUAAAAAUAACAGCCACAAUAAUGACUUUAUUGGUGCUCACAACAGUGUGAUAAACACUUUAAGAGAGAACGCUGUGCAGUGCAGGCUCUGCUUUCCAGCUAGCAGCAAUAACACAUUGCUGCCAUGGGGGUAUCUGUGCUGAGGGCUUUGGGUGCUGCUUUCAGGGAUCUGGGCUAAGCACCUGCUGGCCAGGCACACCGAGUGAAGGAGAGAGCCCUGGAGAUUCCUACUGCAGACUUCCUGUUACACAAGUCACAGCCCAAGUUCAGGAAUGCACAUUUGCACACAGCUGAACUAAUAUGAGCUAAGCUCUGCGGACACAGCCACAGGUUUUACAUCAGGCAUUUCCUUGUUUCUCCACAAUCAUACUUGAGCAUGUACUUUUGUGCCUUAAUUCAGAGCCUUAACCUCAACAUUUCAAUACCCCAGAGGAUCGCUUUGACUGUCUUUACCUACUUUUGUUUAUUCUGGGAGCAGGAUGGGCUUUUACCCCAUGUAUGUACAGCUCCCAGUCUGUGGAGCUCUGUCCUUGGCUAGGGCCACCAGAUGUUGUGAAAGAGAGAAUAUUACAAACAGGGGUGAUAAUAGCUCCUGGGCCAGUCCUCAAAGCAGGUUCAAGGGCUGGGACCAAUUCAGAUCAGUUCUACUCUAGACUCUGUGCAGCAGCGAGUGCGAGCUGGAAGCAGGAUACAUUACACAUCUGCUUGAUUUUGUUUCAGACUCUUGUAAUAAAAAUUGAGGUAUGUGACUAUGAGAAAAGGAGGUUUUGGUCCUCCAGUAAAAAAUGAGAAAUAAAUGCAUACGACCACCAAAAGUGACAGCUCACACAGCACUAGAAAAAAAAAGGUCUAAAUAACUAAUGGGCUGAGUAAUAAGGUUUUGGGUAAACUGAGAGUAACAGAAGAAAUUGCCUUAGAAAUUGCUCUGCGUAAAACAUUUGUUGAGUACAUUGCUUUUGUGAAAAUAAAAGCUUGUCUCUGUGGAUAAUUUGUCAAGGGGAAAGGCACUCAAUUCAAAACAGUAAAGUCUUCUUUGUAAGCUAUGUCUCCACAUUUAUAUUUAUUCAAAGGUCUAGAAGACAGUUCUAUUAGAAAUAUCUGAGCAAUUAAGCAAUCUACACAUCGUUCCCUUAAGUAUGUGUUCAAUGGGACAGAAAGAACACAGUGUUGUUUCCAAGACUACCUGGUGAGAUGAAAAACGUUCUCCACAGCUUCUUGUCGCGAGUAACAUCUCGUAUCUCCCUGGUCAUGUUAACCAGUCUACCUGCAACUGGUGGGACGCGACGGAAGUCCAGGAUCCUGGGAGAAAAGGAGAAGAGGCAGUUUAUGGAAAAGACUGAAACACAACCAUAGUGAUAGGUUUCAGGAAGGUUCAUUACACUCUGAAGGCACAUUAAUCUGGGGCCAUUAAGGAGUGAAAAGCCCAUCAACUUUAAACUGCAUCAUCCUUCUGAUAAUAUACUACAAAAUAUGUCAUGAAUAUUAUCAGCCUACUUAGUAUGGAGCAGACACAGAGCAGUGUGGAGACAUGCUGUCCCAUGAAAAAAAACAGUGACAGAAUUCCAGAAAGAAGGGACAGGAGGGACUUGGUUUACACCUGGUGCCAAUUUGGGGUUGUCACAACAUGUGUUUUGCUCACAAAUGUUUUAGUGACCGGAGGAAUGGGCUUUCAGCCUCUUUCUUCCACAAACACCAUCUAAUAAACCUAAAAACUAGUCUUUUUUUUUUCUUUUUUUUUUUUUUCUGACAGUCUUUGUAUUUGUUUCAUUUAUUUCCUUCUGCUUCUCCCUGUUCCAGUACUCUCAUACCAAUACAAACAACCUCCCUGAAACUAAACAUUUUCCCACAGGCAAAGGCUGGAGAAAGAGCCUUUCUCAACCACAAACUCCCCAGCUUUAGUAGAUCAUUAAAAACUCCCUAUGAAGCAUUGCCAUUAGACACAGUAAAAGAGCAAAGUCUCCAUACAAAGCCUCCCCAUAGGUGGGAUUUUUAUGUCCACUCUACUGAUCAGAUUUUCUACACUGGGUAGCAACUGCUUUUUCUGCUUAACAUGUGGAUGUUUAGCAUUACUCCCUGCAGGAACUCCAUUAAUGCCUUUUCCUACAGCACCAUCUGCUUAAAAUGGCAAUAUAAAAUAUAAAACAGAGGGGAUCAGCACCAAGGUCAACAUUAAAAUACAAAAGACCCCUUAAGGAUGUGACCAAGAUGGCUCUUAAUGGCCAAUCUACUCUGUGCCACCCACAGACACGCUCCCUCAUCCUGACCAUCAAACCAGAAGGCACCAAUACUCCAUGCACCUCUAAACAAUUUGUGGCCCAAAGCUUCAAACUUUUGCAAGGAUCUUUUUUGGCACUGCAGGCUGUGAAAGAAGCUUCAGUUCUAACUCAGCCUGUGAAAUGCAACGCUUUGUUGGCCUUUUGUUAGUAAUUCCUCGUUAAUAAUUAAUUCUUGCUCCUAAUGUGGGCUGGCUGAGACUGUCCUCAGUCCAUUUCCAACACUGCCCAUACUAUUUCUGCUUGAAGGACAUUUUCAGCUAACAGGAACGUGAGAUGAUCAUCAGUGUCCUCUCUAUCCUAAAUACCCCCCUGACAUGGGACAGCCCUAGCUUCUGGCUGAGACGUCAGGACUCAUUUUCUACAGCAAUUACUCUUCUCUGAACACUGAGGAGAUUCCCCAUGCCUCAUUUGGAUUUGCCCGUCCUGGAGCUGAUUGGGAAGAAAUGGGAUCAUUGCAGUUUGACGGCCACGACACAUGUCAUGUUUCAAAGAACAUUAACAAGCCUGUGUUCCUCAGAAGAUGCAGAAUUUGUUGUUUCUUCAGCAUAAGAAACAAUAAAAAAUGUCAUUCUGAUGGAAAGGAAAAGGCUAAAGAUUGAACACCGAAUUCCAUGGCAAACAGAAAGCUCUGCAUGACAGAAGCAAAUCUGCCUCAUUUUAGGCAAUUUCCAGUCCUGAUGGCUUUUGGAUGGAAAGCAACUCUAGCAGUUGACCAAUGCAAUGUCAGGGCCCCACCAAAAUCUGCACCAUAUUCUAUUUGAAGUCUUAAACAUGAAAUAUGGACUGCAAAGCUGUUCUGUACAACAUCUGCAAGGGAGGACAGUUCCCUAGAAGAGGAAAGCAUAAUUUUCCCAAGCUCUUUCUCAUUCUGUGCUGUCCCAGGUGGCCAGCUGACAGCUCAUGCAUCACUUCUGCUACACACCAGCCAUUAAAACACAUGCUUGCUUCCACAAAGACCAUGGUAUCCCUGCCCACAGCAGAGCAUUGGAACCAGAUGAGCUCUAAGCCUUCCAACCCAAGACACUAUAUGAUUCUGUGAUUCCACGAUAAGUGCUGAACUAUUGCCAUCACAGAGAGAACAUCAGGGUAUUUGGUGGGUCCAGUAUAACGGGAGGUCAGAGGGGCAGGAGGUCAGAAAAUAAAAAGUAAUACUGUGCUUUGUCUUCACCGUACAUGGAAAGGGAAAGGAUAGCACCUACAAGGAGGAAAACAGAAGAGUCCAAAACCUGAGGCAAGUCACACAGGGUGCUGUGUAAAGAACACGAAAGCUAGGAGAGCUGCAGCCCUGUUGGGUAUAUUCCCCUCAAAAAUGAAGAAAUGAGCCUUGAACAUAAAUGCAAAGAAAAAGGUUAUGAUAUUUCCGUUGGGCAGAAGAUUAUGAGUCUGUAUAUAACUUUCCUUCCCUUCCAGAUCUUAAAACAGUCGAUUGCUUCAACAAAUCAAAGAAAAAAAAGACUCAUCCCAAGCCUUUGCAAACUUUACACAUAUCAGCGCAGCUGAUAAGCAGCAGAAAAUAUUACUAAUUAGCUAAUCAAUGCCAUCUGCUUUUUAUCUCCAGAAGGCUUUAAACAUAUCAUGGCUGUUCCUUUACAAGAAAAUCUUGCUCUGGAAAAUGAGACUUAAAGAAAGGGUCAAUCUGAAUCUUGCAAGCACAGCUCUCCCACCACCCCAUGACGGCUCCCAACGCGCUGGGCAGUCAGCACAUCGCCGCCGGGAUGCUCUGGUCUCACUCAUUUCAUUCUUCUCUUUGUUCCCUGCCACCUCUGGCAAUGGUUGGGGAUAUUAUUCAUUUUCAAGUAAGUACAGCUCUCCUGCAGGCUUCCACUUGUUAGUACAUAUUUCUCUCCUGUCAUAAUAUAUUAUUGAAUGGUGCCAUGGGCGUGCCCUCCUAGAAAAUCAUGAACUUGAUUGUCCUUAAAACUUUCAAAAAUGGAUACCAAAUUGGCAGUGCAAUAUAAACAAUGGAAAUAUUGUGUUUUGUAAGCUUGACUAGAGAUCAUGAAACAAACUUGUACGUUUCUUCAGUGCUUCAGGUGUUUCACUCUAGUCAUCCAUAGACGAACACUCUCCAGCCACAGUCACCAUGGGCUGUGCCCACAGGCAUGGCAGCCACUUUGCUGUUUCUGGGCAGCGCUGGGUACUUCUGAAUGCAGACUGGAAGGAGUAUUUAUCCAAAACAGCUCUGCAGAACUAAGCUGUACUAGGCUCAAAAGUGAAACUCUCAGAAAUAACCUUGAAAAAUCCCUUCGCAUAACAGGAUCCAAUAUUCCACUUACAAGAAGGGGAAUCUUGCUCUUUGGAUCUGACUCAAGCGGGCUACAGUUUUAUUCAAACAAAUUAUCAUUAGUUUGAUGUCUGCAGCAGCACCCGAAGAGCAGCUGUACCGCCAGCAGAUGCCAGCAUGUGUGAUGACCAUUGCCUUCAGUACAACACUGCAUUUGAAAGGUCUAAUGCAGUGCUGAAUUGAUGGAAUCAGUGGACCAUUAGGAAUGGCUUCUGCAGUGCUAGAAGGAUGCCUACAUCAUAAUCAUAACCUUGAUUGUUUAGUUUAAAUAAAUUUGUGCAUGAUGUUAUUGUAUUUGAAAACUUGAUAGUUUUAGUGUGUGCAGUCUAAUCAUCACCCAGUUUGCUGCUAGUUCUUCUAAUAAUCUUCUUACACACACACAGUCUUUGGACACGCACACCUGAUGUGUGUGUAGGGAGCAGUGGGAAAUGCGAUGAUUCUAUAACCAAACCCUGCUCUCAGUAACACGGAUGGGCAGUCAGCAAGCCCAGCAGUUACUCUAGCACAGCAGCCUCAGUCUCUGCAGGAAAGGCUGGGAAAGGAGCAUGCACUCUGAGCCAGAGUCAAUUAAAAUAUCUUACGAAACAACACUGGAGCUGAUCCAUCCCAUAGCGUGUGUUAAAUCAGAGCUGCAUUUUAAGGGAAAAAAAAAAACAAUCUAAGGACAAUCCCAAGCCAGAAACCCCUCUAUUAUUUUAUCACCCGGUGGUUAUUGAAGGCUACUGCCUAAUAAAACCACACGUGCAGUGAAGUAUUUGAGCACGCAGACCAAUCCGCCGGGUGCUCACACAUUGUUCAUGUCUGAUGGACAGCAAACCCCAUAGCAGGACUCAGUCCUGCACACGUUGGCAACAGUGGGAGAGCGUUUCUGGCUGCAGCUCUUAUUUUGCAAACAGUUGGAAUCUGGUGAUCCUCUCUUUGGAGGAGGAUUUGGCAGAUAUUUCUAACGGCAGGCUGGGAAGCUCUGGAGGAGAGACAGAUGGAGGUCUGUUGGUGCUGCACACAGUUAAAAAUUACACAGUGGCACCAGACCAAUUACUGCACGAGGAAAAGACAAAUCAGCAUCAGUAACACUCAUAGGGGAGGAAUAAGAGGAAUAUGAACUAAGGGGAAAGCAAAGCCCAUGAAAAUUUCCCAGCUUGGAGAAAACACAGGAAGUAAAGAAGGAUUUUAAACAGGAUAAGAACACAUCUGCACAGUAAGAUGGAACUGUCUGAUCUUGCAGCUGGAAGAGCAAGUCAUGCCUGAAAACAGGAGCAACAGAGAUACUGUGCUAAGUGAACGCAGUCGUAGUCAAUCAGGUGAGCAGCUCCCUGUGACCACGGCUGGGACCUGCUGGGGAGCUCAGGAGUUUCUGGAUAAGCCAAUAUAGCGAUGUGUGUGCAGCUGUAACUGCAAAGCCUCAAGUUUUUCAUUAUAUGCUUCUGCAAACAAUUGUUGGCCAACUUUGCCCAAACUCAGCAUUAUUAAUUUCUUGGGUUUUUUUUUUUUUCUUUUUUUUCAUGAAGCUCAUCAGCACACUGAGGCUGCAGGCUCCAAGGCAUUUCAGGAAGCACUGUUAGGAUGCCUUGAACAUGGAAAUCUCUGUUUAGCUCCCAGGAUCUCCUGUGUGCACCUGCCUGAAUUACCUGGAUUAAUCCCCACCAGGGCCACACAUUGCUCGAAAGAAUCCUGCCUCAAUGCCAGACUUCCUCUGCACCGGAGGGGUCCUAUUAUCUGUGCAGCAGCCAGAAAGCCAGAAUAUAGGGCAAACAGCCCAAUCUGACUCAACUGCUAUUCCGACAGACACACUGUCUUCCCGUGCUGCAGUCCAAGGAUAUUUCGGGACACCUUGGUCUCAAAGGCGCGUACCUCAGCUAAUCAAAGGACACGCUGAUGACUUGAAAAGAGCUCCUCCUAACAAGGCUGUGCUCCUGCUCCCACCCAUAAUCAGGGGAAUCAGAGAAAGGGAUUAGGGAUGAUUAGGGAUCGCAGGUCUGCAGCAGAGAGGGGUUGGCUUGGGUUGGUUUGGGAGACAGAGACCCUGAUCCUGGGGAAAUCUGGCAGCUGCAAAAUCAGCAAGAACGUAACUGGGGAAGGAGGCACAGUAAGUACAUUGGCAGGGACAGAGCUAACACUGCUAAGAGAGUAAUGUGGUUAUGGGAAAAGAGAACUGGAGAUUAGCCGGGUCUACCCAUGGCUACAGGUCGCUAUUCUUUCCCAUGGAAAGCAGCUUUCCUCUGCUCCAGUUAAGGUGCCUAAAUACCUGCUCUGGGCUUGACAGUUAAUAUCCAGUGUUAUCUGAAUGAUAGAAUGCAGUUAGUGCAGGAGCUAACCCAGGAGGAACUGGGGACUUCUUGCGUUCAGAAGCACCGCGUGGGGUUUGGCACUGCUUUUAAAACACCAGCAAUCAACUAAUGUAACCACAGAUGCUUCAUCAAGUCCAGAAAGCCCUUCCCGCGGUGCAGGCAGGCAGGCAAGCAAAUCUGCAGCAUAGGAACUUCUUUGUACUGUGGAAAAUGCAGACUGAGAGUCCAGUGCCUGCUUGCAGGAUUUUCUCCCCCCCCCCUCCGCAACCCUUGUGUCAAAUUGGAUUGUGCAGCACUGGGAUCCAGAGUGCCCUGAGAUAAUCUAAAGCGUAUUAUUCUAACUGAAGGAGGCAGCCCGUGGAAAAAAAAAAAAGAAGAGAGAGAAACAAAACAAUGUCUCUGAGGCUUCUGCAGUGCUUAGGAGCACGCUUAGGUUUUGCAUGCAGAGUCCUAUCACCAGGGAGAGCUUUCUGUGCAUUUGGCACCAGUUAGAACAGGUGGAAAAAAUGCCACUUAAUUUUAGAAUACAUUUUAGUAGCUUAAUAAGUCCUUAGGAAGAUAAAUGACACUGCUAAUGCAGUUACAUCUACAGUAGCAGAGCUAUCUGGUGCCUGCUUCCGACUCCUUAUGGAGUCUUGGCAGCUGAUGGCUUUGGCUUUAUCAAAGUGCUCUGCUGCAAAAAGCACUCCCAGGAACGAUAUGAGCUGUUUACAAGAGCAGAAUACGGUCCAGAAAAUGAGUGGCCAAUCCAGGAAUGCAAAGACAUGCGCUUUAAGUGGUACAGAAAAGAUGUUUGGCCCGUGUCGUUGCUCUCAUGCAAACAACAAUAUGGGCCUCUGCAGAAUAUGUAGGCUUCUCCCGUUCAGCUAGCACUUCUGCAGCUAGAAAAAUGAGAGAGUAUUUACUGUGGCAGAAAGACAGAAAUUCGCACAGGGAUGUGCUAGGAAUAGGAAUAAUUAGCAAACCGCCACAAGGAUAAAUACCAAGAUGAUGCUAUUGCAUGCCAGCCCUGGAGUGCUUUUCUCCAGAGAAGACGAGGAGAGCUUGACAGCAGCACAUGCUCAAGGACCAGUCAGCGCCACAGAAAUCGCAAACUUCUAAGACAAUGCAUAACAAUGAGCUUCAAAAAGAGCAUUUGUAUGUAUGAGUAUCUCGUUACCUGGCACAGGAGGGUACUGGGGGGAAGAGGGAGAGAAAAUCCUCAGGGAAAAGGUAUACUGAGAGGUUUUUUUCCAUUUCCGAUUGCAGAAGUCAAAGGAAAAAGGCUCAGGAGGUCACCUACCCCAGCCCCUGGCCCCAGGGCAAGAUCAGCCUGACCCAAACCAUUCUUGACAGACUUCGCUGCAACGCAGUCUUCAAAACAUCCUUUUCCUGUCCCAUGGCUACAGCCCUCUCCUCCUUGUCCCCACGUGCUGGCCUCACUUCUGCACAUUUCCCCUCUGUCUCCUCCUUGUCCCAUGACCAAGGCAAAGCCAUCACAUGGCACCUGCUGCAGCAUACCUGAGUGUCUUCCUGAGAAACAAAUACAUGUAAGAGAUUUGCCAUAGUGACUGGCUCCCAUUCCUGAAAAGCACAUCCCAAAGCUGAGACCUGGGAACUACACCUUAAUGCCUUUAUAUCCCUCUGCUCAGAGACCCCUUCUUUAGGGAAUGAAGAACCAUUUAUCUGUUUUUAAUUCAUUACAAUUCUCUCCAACCCAAGGUCUUGAAAUACUGACUUCUGCCUUUCCUCUCAAAACCGGCACUGUUUCUAGAAGACAAGGAAGCAACCUCUGAUUCCUUGACACAGAUCAGGGAGUUUGGGAAAAGGGUUUGCAAAGCUGCACCAUGGCUCAAAGCAUCGUCAGUGAAAGGCUCCUGCCAGUCCGUACAUGAGAAUAUAUCAGAUUUCCACCUGAGCAGAUUUCCACCUGAGCAAAACACCAGCUGCCCCUCCUGACUACACAGGCAGGUUGGAUACAAAGGAAUGAAUAAUCAAAGUAACUAGAAGGAUCUGAGAAUAUGAAAGAUUUGUUUUAUUCUCCGAUAAAUAUAAAAAUAAUAAUAAAACCGGGCAUUUUCCUCCA